rnacentral:rRNA from 1 species
UACGUAGGUGGCGAGCGUUGUCCGGAUUUAUUGGGCGUAAAGGGCGCGCAGGUGGUGCGGUAAGACUGCCGUGAAAUCUCCCGGCUCAACUGGGAGGGGGCGGUGGAGACUGCCGGACUAGAGGCACUCAGAGGCCGGUGGAAUUCCCGGUGUAGUGGUGAAAUGCGUAGAGAUCGGGAGGAACACCAGUGGCGAAGGCGGCCGGCUGGGGGUGACCUGACGCUGAGGCGCGAAAGCUAGGGGAGCAAACAGG